rnacentral:rRNA from 1 species
AACGAACGCUGGCGGCAUGCUUAACACAUGCAAGUCGAACGGUCUUAUGGGGCUUGCUCCAUAAGAUAGUGGCAGACGGGUGAGUAACACGUGGGAACGUACCCUAAGGUUCGGAACAACAGUUGGAAACGACUGAUAAUACCGGAUAUCUCCGAGAGGAGAAAGGUUUACCGCCUUGGGAGCGGCCCGCGUCGGAUUAGGUAGUUGGUGAGGUAAAGGCUCACCAAGCCGAUGAUCAGUAGCUGGUUUGAGGGAAUGAUCAGCCACACUGGGCCUGAGACACGGCCCAGACUCCUACGGGAGGCAGCAGGGGGGAAUAUUGGACAGUGGGGGAAACCCUGAUCCAGCAAUGCCGCGUGAGUGAAGAAGGCCUUCGGGUUGUAAAGCUCUUUUGUCCGUGACGAUAAUGACGGUAGCGGACGAAUAAGCACCGGCUAACUUCGUGCCAGCCGCCGCGGUAA